GGGGUUGUGGCUCAGUGGCAGAGCGCUUGCCUAGCACACAUGAGGCACUGGGUUCAAUCCCCAGCACCA
rnacentral:tRNA from 1 species